rnacentral:tRNA from 1 species
GGGCGCGUAGCUCAGUUGGCUAGAGCGCGGCUGUCACAUAGCCGAGGUCACAGGUUCGAGUCCUGUUGCGCCCAC